CGAAUAUAGUCCUUAGUGUGGACAGUGUGUUACUUGCCAAUUUUUGUUAUACCCCUUCCAAAUUUAUUUCUCCAUGUUUUAUGCCUCAUAUAGCAAGUUGGGGGGUGAAAUGACACUGUAAAAAAAUUUGGGUCAUAAAUAUUAAUGUAAAGUAGUGAUUAGGUCCAGCUGAAAAAGGUCAGAAAUUAGCACUUCGGAAGCUGUCAAAAGAUUUCAAGACCCCCUUAACACAAAAUUGUCCAUAUUUUGAGUUAGAGCUGAUGAAGUUUUCUAUAAUUUUGAUAUAAUUUGUCCCAAAAGUAAUACAACACACUGUAAAAAUAUUAUUGAGAAAGCGCAGGUGGGAUUUUUUUAAUUUUCAUUUAUUGUCUAAAAGAAAUGCACUACGAAAUAACUGUGUACUCGGAC
rnacentral:lncRNA from 1 species